rnacentral:rRNA from 1 species
UACGUAGGGUGCAAGCGUUGUCCGGAAUUAUUGGGCGUAAAGAGCUCGUAGGCGGUCUGUCGCGUCUGCUGUGAAAACUCAGGGCUUAACCCUGAGCUUGCAGUGGGUACGGGCAGACUAGAGUGCGGUAGGGAGACUGGAAUUCCUGGUGUAGCGGUGAAAUGCGCAGAUAUCGAGGAGGAACACCGGUGGCGAAGGCGGGUCUCUGGGCCGUAACUGACGCUGGAGGAG